UACGGAGGGUGCAAGCGUUAUCCGGAUUCACUGGGUUUAAAGGGUGCGUAGGGGGGUUGGUAAGUCAGUGGUGAAAUCUCCAGGCUUAACUUGGAAACUGCCAUUGAUACUAUCAAUCUUGAAUACCGUGGAGGUCAGCGGAAUAUGUCAUGUAGCGGUGAAAUGCUUAGAUAUGACAUAGAACACCAAUUGCGAAGGCAGCUGGCUACACGAAUAUUGACACUGAUGCACGAAAGCGUGGGGAUCAAACAGG
rnacentral:rRNA from 1 species